GUUGGAAUUGAUAUCCAUACUGUUUAUGUACCAAUUUAUACUGGUAAUAACUCUAUCAGUCGUGAUAACCAUCAACAGAUUAAAAAUGAAGUGCCUGAUCUUCCUCGCCAUCUGUCAACAGAAGCUGUGUGUGGACAUAAAUGUGCCAACAAAUCGACCUGUGCCCAUAAAUGCUGUAAAGAAGGUAUAAACAAUAGUAGACAAACUCCUAAAACACCAAAAGCAUCCAAACAGCCGGUUAAAUUACGUGGUUUACAAGCUCAGAUGAAUAUAUUAAAACACAGAACACAAGAUUUACCACACAGUGCUAAAGAUGUCAAAAGACCACGGCUUGGUACAAAUAGUUCAGGUCAACCAACACCGACCAUAGAUUUGAGUAUGUACGCAUAUCAGAAGAAUAAGAUGGCCACACCACAACAACAGAAACCUGGUUGUAGUUAUAUUAAUGAAACCCCUAUAGAACGUGCAACACCUCAACAUAAUGAACAAGCAUCUGUCAGUCAUA